rnacentral:rRNA from 1 species
UACGAAGGGGGCUAGCGUUGCUCGGAAUCACUGGGCGUAAAGGGUGCGUAGGCGGGUCUUUAAGUCAGGGGCGAAAUCCUGGAGCUCAACUCCAGAACUGCCUUUGAUACUGAAGAUCUUGAGUUCGGGAGAGGUGAGUGGAACUGCGAGUGUAGAGGUGAAAUUCGUAGAUAUUCGCAAGAACACCAGUGGCGAAGGCGGCUCACUGGCCCGAUACUGACACUGAUGCACGCAAGCGUGGGGAGCAAACAGG